UUCAAGUGUUAUUGUUAAGUGUCAUUAUCAAGCCAAUUAGAAGUGACUGGCUCUCACUCCGCAUCUCCGCUCCUCUCUUCCGGUUUGGACGCUGCAAGCUGAAUCUCAGUGUUGCCAUUGGUUUCUGCUGUGUUCUGCCAGUAGGGGCGCCAACGGGGGAGACUGAGCCAGGAGGAGAGGAAGCCGACCUCCACCCUCCUGCUUUGCUUCCGGUCUGUCUGCUUCCUGCUUGUUCCUGAGAGCACACGUGGUCUGCACAACCCUGAGGUGUUUGACAGCUCUGCUCAAUGAUGCUGAUCCCUCUGCCUACCCCUCCCCGCCACACAUACCACCUCACUGCACCAGGGUCCCUCGUGGCCACCACCCUGCCUCAGAGACCAGCUGCAGAAGUCUCCAAAUCAGCCCCAUCCUGAUCUGCUGUGGGAAGGGGGUGCCCAUCACAACGCCGCUCGGGAGCCACAGUGGUUAAGAGAACCGACCUGGAAAGCAGGUGGCUUGGCUUCAGAUCCCAGCUACCACACAGCAGCUUUGCAAAUACAGGUGCUUGCCCAACCUCCCACCAUCUGAGUUCCCCUGAGGAAGACAUCACUUCAUCCAUGGAAAGUACUCGGAACAGAGCCUGACAUGGACUAAGCAGGCAAUCAUUUGCCAAGGUUACUCAUGGUGAAUCCUUCGAUAGAAGAACCUUGUGGAGGCCGGCAAGAUAGCUCAGUGGAUAAGGGCACUUGCAGCCAAGCCUAAUGACCUGACCUGAGUUCAAUUCCUGAGACCCCCUGACUCCCUGAAGUUAUCCCCUGGCCUCCACAGACACACCAUGGCACAUGGGUGCAUGGAUGUGUACACAUACAAUAAACAAAAAUAUAACACAUUUCUUAAAAGAAUUUUUCAAAUAUCAAAAUUAACAAAUGACAGAAUAAAUAGUAAACCGACUUACAGUAUAUGAAAAUAAAAUAAAAUAAACU